UACGAAGGGGGCUAGCGUUGUUCGGAAUUACUGGGCGUAAAGCGCGCGUAGGCGGAUCAUUAAGUCAGGGGUGAAAUCCCAGGGCUCAACCCUGGAACUGCCUUUGAUACUGUUGAUCUGGAGUUCGGGAGAGGUGAGUGGAAUUCCGAGUGUAGAGGUGAAAUUCGUAGAUAUUCGGAGGAACACCAGAAGCGAAGGCGGCUCACUGGCCCGAUACUGACGCUGAGGCGCGAAAGCGUGGGGAGCAAACAGG
rnacentral:rRNA from 1 species